rnacentral:rRNA from 1 species
AUACAUGCAAGUCGAACGCUUUGUGGUUCAACUGAUUUGAAGAGCUUGCUCAGAUAUGACGAUGGACAUUGCAAAGAGUGGCGAACGGGUGAGUAACACGUGGGAAACCUACCUCUUAGCAGGGGAUAACAUUUGGAAACAGAUGCUAAUACCGUAUAACAAUGACAACCGCAUGGUUGUUAUUUAAAAGAUGGUUCUGCUAUCACUAAGAGAUGGUCCCGCGGUGCAUUAGCUAGUUGGUAAGGUAAUGGCUUACCAAGGCGAUGAUGCAUAGCCGAGUUGAGAGACUGAUCGGCCACAAUGGGACUGAGACACGGCCCAUACUCCUACGGGAGGCAGCAGUAGGGAAUCUUCCACAAUGGGCGAAAGCCUGAUGGAGCAACGCCGCGUGUGUGAUGAAGGGUUUCGGCUCGUAAAACACUGUUGUAAGAGAAGAAUGACAUUGAGAGUAACUGUUCAAUGUGUGACGGUAUCUUACCAGAAAGGAACGGCUAAAUACGUGCCAGCAGCCGCGGUAAUACGUAUGUUCCAAGCGUUAUCCGGAUUUAUUGGGCGUAAAGCGAGCGCAGACGGUUAUUUAAGUCUGAAGUGAAAGCCCUCAGCUCAACUGAGGAAUUGCUUUGGAAACUGGAUGACUUGAGUGCAGUAGAGGAAAGUGGAACUCCAUGUGUAGCGGUGAAAUGCGUAGAUAUAUGGAAGAACACCAGUGGCGAAGGCGGCUUUCUGGACUGUAACUGACGUUGAGGCUCGAAAGUGUGGGUAGCAAACAGGAUUAGAUACCCUGGUAGUCCACACCGUAAACGAUGAGUGCUAGGUGUUUGAGGGUUUCCGCCCUUAAGUGCCGCAGCUAACGCAUUAAGCACUCCGCCUGGGGAGUACGACCGCAAGGUUGAAACUCAAAGGAAUUGACGGGGACCCGCACAAGCGGUGGAGCAUGUGGUUUAAUUCGAAGCAACGCGAAGAACCUUACCAGUCUUGACAUCCCUUGACACUCCAGAGAUGGAGCGUUCCCUUCGGGGACAAGGUGACAGGUGGUGCAUGGUUGUCGUCAGCUCGUGUCGUGAGAUGUUGGGUUAAGUCCCGCAACGAGCGCAACCCUUAUUACUAGUUGCCAGCAUUCAGUUGGGCACUCUAGUGAGACUGCCGGUGACAAACCGGAGGAAGGUGGGGAUGACGUCAAAUCAUCAUGCCCCUUAUGACCUGGGCUACACACGUGCUACAAUGGCGUAUACAACGAGUUGCCAACCCGCGAGGGUGAGCUAAUCUCUUAAAGUACGUCUCAGUUCGGAUUGUAGGCUGCAACUCGCCUACAUGAAGUCGGAAUCGCUAGUAAUCGCGGAUCAGCACGCCGCGGUGAAUACGUUCCCGGGUCUUGUACACACCGCCCGUCACACCAUGAGAGUUUGUAACACCCAAAGCCGGUGGGGUAACCUUCGGGAGCCAGCCGUCUAA